CUCGUAGGCGGUUCGUCGCGUCCGGUGUGAAAGUCCAUCGCUUAACGGUGGAUCUGCGCCGGGUACGGGCGGGCUGGAGUGCGGUAGGGGAGACUGGAAUUCCCGGUGUAACGGUGGAAUGUGUAGAUAUCGGGAGGAACACCAAUGGCGAAGGCAGGUCUCUGGGCCGUCACUGACGCUGAGGAGCGAAAGCGUGGGGAGCGAACA
rnacentral:rRNA from 1 species